GAUGAACGCUGGCGGCGUGCCUAAUACAUGCAAGUCGAGCGAACAGAUGAGGAGCUUGCUCCUCUGACGUUAGCGGCGGACGGGUGAGUAACACGUGGAUAACCUACCUAUAAGACUGGGAUAACUUCGGGAAACCGGAGCUAAUACCGGAUAAUAUAUUGAACCGCAUGGUUCAAUAGUGAGAGACGGUUUUGCUGUCACUUAUAGAUGGAUCCGCGCCGCAUUAGCUAGUUGGUAAGGUAACGGCUUAGCAAGGCAACGAUGCGUAGCCGACGUGAGAGGGUGAUCGGCCACACUGGAACUGAGACACGGUCCAGACGCCUACGGGAGGCAGCAGUAGGGAAUCGGCCGCAAUGGGCGAAAGCCUGACGGAGCAACGCCGCGUGAGUGAUGAAGGUCUUCGGAUCGUAAAACUCUGUUAUGAGGGAAGAACAAAUGUGUAAGUAACUAUGCACGUCUUGACGGUACCUAAUCAGAAAGCCACGGCUAACUACGUG
rnacentral:rRNA from 1 species